rnacentral:rRNA from 1 species
UACGGGGGGAGCAAGCGUUGUUCGGAUUUACUGGGCGUAAAGCGUGCGCAGGCGGCUUUGCAAGACAGAUGUGAAAUCCCCGGGCUCAACCUGGGAACUGCAUUUGUGACUGCAUGGCUGGAGUGCGGCAGAGGGGGGAUGGAAUUCCGCGUGUAGCAGUGAAAUGCGUAGAUAUGCGGAGGAACACCGAUGGCGAAGGCAAUCCCCUGGGCCUGCACUGACGCUCAUGCACGAAAGCGUGGGGAGCAAACAGG